GAUGAACGCUGGCGGCGUGCCUAAUACAUGCAAGUCGAGCGAACAGACGAGGAGCUUGCUCCUCUGACGUUAGCGGCGGACGGGUGAGUAACACGUGGAUAACCUACCUAUAAGACUGGGAUAACUUCGGGAAACCGGAGCUAAUACCGGAUAAUAUAUUGAACCGCAUGGUUCAAUAGUGAAAGACGGUUUUGCUGUCACUUAUAGAUGGAUCCGCGCCGCAUUAGCUAGUUGGUAAGGUAACGGCUUACCAAGGCAACGAUGCGUAGCCGACCUGAGAGGGUGAUCGGCCACACUGGAACUGAGACACGGUCCAGACUCCGACGGGAGGCAGCAGUAGGGAAUCUUCCGCAAUGGGCGAAAGCCUGACGGAGCAACGCCGCGUGAGUGAUGAAGGUCUUCGGAUCGUAAAACUCUGUUAUUAGGGAAGAACAAAUGUGUAAGUACCUAUGCACGUCUUGACGGUACCUAAUCAGAAAGCCACGGCUAACUACGUG
rnacentral:rRNA from 1 species